ensembl:lncRNA
AAUGCUUCAUAUGAUCUUUAUUGUGCCCAUUUGGUAGGAGAGACUUGCAUUAACAAAAAACACAACACCUCAGGUUAACAGGACAAGAGAAUGUAUUGCUUUGCAGAGGAAGAAACACUUACGGGUGAACAGGUUGGUGAUGCACUAAGCCACACAAAGCAACACCCUGACGCGUCUGUGGAUUUCAGUGACAACCGCAAAUCCCACGGCAAACACGGCAGUCGUUUCAGACACACCCAUUGGAAUGUAUGUAACAGGUAUGGAGACAAAAUGGCCUCCUAAGAUAAGACCGUUAGUUAAAGCUACAUCGCCUUCUACCCUACAUUAUUCUACCGGUUCCUACCUAUCCAUCAGUCUACAGUAAUCUGGUACCACUAAAGGGGAAAAGAUGUAAAGAAGAACAGAGCAAAUUUACCCUAUUCUCUCUUCAUUUCCUAACUUUUUAACAUAAAACAUACGUACCCUUCACUGAAGUAUUCAUAUUUCAUAACAUUCUAAACACCCCCCCUGUAGUGAGAGAUUUACUUAUUGGCUCAGAGAUUGAACUCCACAUAAAAAAAAAAAAAAUUUCUCAGUCCGUUCUCUCCAGACAGAAACCGUAACACUUGAGGUAACAGAGAAAAUAAAUGUACUGAGAGAGGCCCAAAUAUUGUGCCGUGGGGGAGGAAAACUUCACCCCCUAAAUACACUUCAAUGCUUAGAAUUUCUAACACUUUGUAAGGCACACAAAGUUUGUAUUAUUAUAAAAAUAGUACACCUUUCCAGUUAUGCCAAGUCUACAAGGCCUUUUUGUGUGUAACAGACUAUCAGUUGUGUGUAAGAGAUCAAGGCCUUAUGAAUAGCACUGCGAGACUCAACACAAGGUCCCAUUAAGUUUGUUAAUAUAGGCCUAGACCUGCCUCCUGCUAAAUAUCACCCACAACAAACCCUGAGACAUUCCACACAUUUUACAAAAACAUUAAAACAGCAGCAAGUCACUCGCGCAAUGCACCCACCCACCCACCCACGCGCGCGCACACACAC